rnacentral:rRNA from 1 species
GACGAACGCUGGCGGCGUGCCUAAUACAUGCAAGUGGGACGCAAGGGAACACACUGUGCUUGCACACCGUGUUUUCUUGAGUCGCGAACGGGUGAGUAACGCGUAGGUAACCUGCCUAUUAGCGGGGGAUAACUAUUGGAAACGAUAGCUAAUACCGCAUAAUAUUAAUUAUUGCAUGAUAAUUGAUUGAAAGAUGCAAGCGCAUCACUAGUAGAUGGACCUGCGUUGUAUUAGCUAGUUGGUAAGGUAAGAGCUUACCAAGGCGACGAUACAUAGCCGACCUGAGAGGGUGAUCGGCCACACUGGGACUGAGACACGGCCCAGACUCCUACGGGAGGCAGCAGUAGGGAAUCCUCGGCAAUGGACGAAAGUCUGACCGAGCAACGCCGCGUGAGUGAAGAAGGUUUUCGGAUCGUAAAGCUCUGUUGUAAGUCAAGAACGUGUGUGAGAGUGGAAAGUUCACACA